CGGGGAGGACGAGCUCGCCGACGAUGCGGACGGAGGGGUGGCGGAGGAGGAGGUCGAGGUUGCGGUCGAUGGGGCCGUCGAGUGAGUUCUCGGCGGGGACGACGGCGCGGUCGGCAGAGCGAUCCUCCAGCGCGGCGAAGGCGUCCUCGAAGUGCUGGCAGGGGAACGCCUCGCUGGCCGCCGGCGAGGGGAAGGCGCGGGUGGCCGCGUCGUGGCAGUAGGAGCCGCGGACGCCCUGGUAG
rnacentral:misc_RNA from 1 species